AGAGUUUGAUCAUGGCUCAGGACGAACGCUGGCGGCGUGCCUAAUACAUGCAAGUAGAACGCUGAAGAAAGGAGCUUGCUUCUUUUGGAUGAGUUGCGAACGGGUGAGUAACGCGUAGGUAACCUGCCUUGUAGCGGGGGAUAACUAUUGGAAACGAUAGCUAAUACCGCAUAACAGCUUUUGACACAUGUUAGAAGCUUGAAAGAUGCAAUUGCAUCACUACGAGAUGGACCUGCGUUGUAUUAGCUAGUAGGUAGGGUAACGGCCUACCUAGGCGACGGUACAUAGCCGACCUGAGAGGGUGAUCGGCCACACUGGGACUGAGACACGGCCCAGACUCCUACGGGAGGCAGCAGUAGGGAAUCUUCGGCAAUGGGGGCAACCCUGACCGAGCAACGCCGCGUGAGUGAAGAAGGUUUUCGGAUCGUAAAGCUCUGUUGUAAGAGAAGAACGUGUGUGAGAGUGGAAAGUUCACACAGUGACGGUAACUUACCAGAAAGGGACGGCUAACUACGUGCCAGCAGCCGCGGUAAUACGUAGGUCCCGAGCGUUGUCCGGAUUUAUUGGGCGUAAAGCGAGCGCAGGCGGUUUAAUAAGUCUGAAGUUAAAGGCAGUGGCUUAACCAUUGUUCGCUUUGGAAACUGUUAAACUUGAGUGCAGAAGGGGAGAGUGGAAUUCCAUGUGUAGCGGUGAAAUGCGUAGAUAUAUGGAGGAACACCGGUGGCGAAAGCGGCUCUCUGGUCUGUAACUGACGCUGAGGCUCGAAAGCGUGGGGAGCAAACAGGAUUAGAUACCCUGGUAGUCCACGCCGUAAACGAUGAGUGCUAGGUGUUAGGCCCUUUCCGGGGCUUAGUGCCGCAGCUAACGCAUUAAGUAUUCCGCCUGGGGA
rnacentral:rRNA from 1 species